AUGCUUGCUUCGGAAGCACAUAUACUUAAAUUGGAACAAUACAGAGAAGAUUAGUAUGGCACCUCUGCAAGGAUGUCAAGCAAAUUCUUAAAGAGUUCCAUAUUUUA
rfam:Xenopus laevis strain J chromosome 2S, whole genome shotgun sequence.